rnacentral:rRNA from 1 species
AGUCGAACGCUUCUUUCCUCCCAAGUGCUUGCACUCAAUUGGAAAGAGGAGUGGCGGACGGGUGAGUAAUGUCUGGGAAACUGCCUGAUGGAGGGGGAUAACUACUGGAAACGGUAGCUAAUACCGCAUAACGUCGCAAGACCAAAGAGGGGGACCUUAGGGCCUCUUGCCAUCGGAUGUGCCCAGAUGGGAUUAGCUAGUAGGUGGGGUAAAGGCUCACCUAGGCGACGAUCCCUAGCUGGUCUGAGAGGAUGACCAGCCACACUGGAACUGAGACACGGUCCAGACUCCUACGGGAGGCAGCAGUGGGGAAUAUUGCACAAUGGGCGCAAGCCUGAUGCAGCCAUGCCGCGUGUAUGAAGAAGGCCUUCGGGUUGUAAAGUACUUUCAGCGGGGAGGAAGGGAGUAAAGUUAAUACCUUUGCUCAUUGACGUUACCCGCAGAAGAAGCACCGGCUAACUCCGUGCCAGCAGCCGCGGUAAUACGGAGGGUGCAAGCGUUAAUCGGAAUUACUGGGCGUAAAGCGCACGCAGGCGGUUUGUUAAGUCAGAUGUGAAAUCCCCGGGCUCAACCUGGGAACUGCAUCUGAUACUGGCAAGCUUGAGUCUCGUAGAGGGGGGUAGAAUUCCAGGUGUAGCGGUGAAAUGCGUAGAGAUCUGGAGGAAUACCGGUGGCGAAGGCG